UGGGGAAUUUUCCGCAAUGGGCGAAAGCCUGACGGAGCUAGACCGCGUGAGGGAAGAAGGCCCUUGGGUUGUAAACCUCUUUUCUCAGGAAAGAAGAACUGACGGUACCUGAGGAAUAAGCCUCGGCUAACUCCGUGCCAGCAGCCGCGGUAAUACGGAGGAGGCAAGCGUUAUCCGGAAUUAUUGGGCGUAAAGCGUCCGCAGGUGGCUUGGCAAGUCUGCUGUUAAAGACUGGGGCUUAACCCCGGGCCAGCAGUGGAAACUGCCAGACUAGAGUGCGGUAGGGGUAGGGGGAAUUCCCAGUGUAGCGGUGAAAUGCGUAGAUAUUGGGAAGAACACCGGUGGCGAAAGCGCCCUGCUAGACCGCAACUGACACUCAGGGACGAAAGCUAGGGUAGCGAAAGGGAUUAGAUACCCCCGUAGUCC
rnacentral:rRNA from 1 species